UACGUAGGGGGCAAGCGUUGUCCGGAAUCAUUGGGCGUAAAGAGCGUGUAGGCGGCCCGGUAAGUCCGCUGUGAAAGUCCAGGCUCAACCCUGGGAUGCCGGUGGAUACUGUCGGGCUCGAGUCCGGAAGAGGAGUGUGGAAUUCCUGGUGUAGCGGUGAAAUGCGCCAGGAUAUCGAGGAGGAACACCAAUUGCGAAGGCAGCGAUGCCGCUCGG
rnacentral:rRNA from 1 species